CAGUGCCUAGGUUUUCUGUAGUGAAUUUGGCUAAAAUGGUAGAGCUCCCUGAUUCUAACCUCCCUGCAGGUUUUCCACCACAUCCACUCACCUCUACAUGGCGAAAACCAAGGGUUCACUCUCUGUCUUCAGGGAGCUCCCCUCAGCAGCAGCGUUUGACAGAGCUGUUCACUUCCUCUUCCUGGAGCUGUGGCUUCCAGAGCCCAUGCUCAGCAGUUCCCCUCCUUCUUCCACUGCUCCUCUCUUAGGCUCAGAGCCACUCAGACAUUGGGAAGCAAGUUUGUCAAGAUGACAGAGAACCGAGGUAAUGGAUUCGAGUGAUGAAACAGGAAGUUCAUUCAUGAGUUUUUGGCCACACCUCCAAAGUGACGACUUAGCCAGAAAUGGGAUAACUGGGUUUCCCUACUUCUCUUUUAUCAUCCUCAAUGAGAGUGACCAAAUAUUAGAGCUAGAUGGAACCUUAGUGAAAAUCUGGCUACUCGUCCCGUCCCACCAGCCUGCCACCCAUUUCAAGUUUGAAGAGACAAAGACACAUGGACCUUAUGUAAUUACUGGGGAUUACCCCAGGAGUCUGUGGCAAAAGUCAGCUUCUUCCCUCCCUGCUUCCCCGCCCUGUCUCUGGUGCUUUCUACCAACACUGGGCUGUUUCUGUGAUCAUACUUAAGCGUACCUAACCUGUGAAUGCUGUAUAGAAGGUGCUAAUGAACAUGAUUUAGCUUUAACACUCAGUUUUCUAAAGGGACACGUGGGGGCAGCAAAUGUUUAGGGAAAAACAAUUCCAGUUCUAGCCUCUACUGUCUACAUAUGUGUAUACAUUUUGGAAACGUUUGGAAAAGGGAUAUUUGAGAGCUUC
rnacentral:lncRNA from 1 species